GACGAACGCUGGCGGCGUGCCUAACACAUGCAAGUCGAACGGGGUGAUGACUUCGGUUAUCACUUAGUGGCGAACGGGUGAGUAACGCGUGAGAAACCUGCCUUUCAGUGGGGGACAACAGUUGGAAACGACUGCUAAUACCGCAUAAUGUUAUUUGGGGGCAUCCCUGAAUAACCAAAGAUUUAUUGCUGAAAGAUGGUCUCGCGUCUGAUUAGCUAGAUGGCGGGGUAACGGCCCACCAUGGCGACGAUCAGUAGCCGGUCUGAGAGGAUGAACGGCCACAUUGGGACUGAGAUACGGCCCAGACUCCUACGGGAGGCAGCAGUGGGGAAUAUUGGGCAAUGGGGGAAACCCUGACCCAGCAACGCCGCGUGAAGGAAGAAGGCCUUCGGGUUGUAAACUUCUUUUACCAGGGACGAACAAAUGACGGUACCUGGAGAAAAAGCAACGGCUAACUACGUGCCAGCAGCCGCAGUAACAC
rnacentral:rRNA from 1 species